GGUCGUGUCGUCAUUUUUUUAGAUUUUUUACAGUACGAAGCAAAUCGAAUUCACUAAUCAUAAAAGAAACAUUUUCAAUGCUUAAAAAUUGAACGAUUUGCAUAAAACUUGUUAAGUUUCAUGUUUUUGAUGCAAUUACAAAUAUUGGAAAAAUGAAUGUAAUUCGUGCUGUACAGCUGUACCUGGAGAAAAUGGUGGCAGAUGCUGGUCCCGGAAUGAAAAUGCUGAUGAUGGAUCGCGAAACCACCAGCGUAGUUUCGAUGGCUUUCUCGCAGUCGGAGAUGCUUCAGAAGGAAGUGUUCCUGUUCGAAAGGAUCGAUUCCGGGCGCUCGAAUGAGCGGCUCAAAUAUUUGAAAUGUAUUGUUUUUAUACGACCAACAAGGGACAACAUUCUGCGCCUGCAAAGUGAACUCAAGAGUCCGAAAUAUGGCUGUUAUUAUAUUAAUUUCAGCAAUAUUAUUCCUCGUACUGAUAUCAAAACCCUCGCAGAAAGUGACGAAAGCGAGUCCGUUCGUGAAGUGAAAGAGAUCUAUGCUGACUAUCUGCCGGUGAAUCCCAAUCUUUUCUCUCUCAACAUUCCAACAUGCCUACAGUCUCUCUCCUGGAAUCCGGAAGCCCUUGAACGUACUGUUCAAGGCGUGAUCAGUGUGUUACUGUCGUUCAAGUUUCGACCUGCCAUCCGCUACAAAUCAAGCUCCAGUGUGGCGCAAACUCUUGCCAAAAAGAUACACGAUACGAUUAACAAGGAAACAGCUCUGUUCAGUUUCCGACCACCCGAAGAUGGGUCUCCGCCUCCGAUGCUGUUGAUUCUGGAUCGCCGAGACGAUCCCAUUACACCGUUGCUUAACCAGUGGACCUAUCAAGCGAUGGUACAUGAGCUACUGACCAUCAACAAACAGCGAGUAGAUCUUUCUGGCGUCCAAAGCGUACCCAAAGAUUUGAAAGAGAUCGUUUUGUCCACCGAGCAGGAUGAGUUCUACGCCGCUAAUCUAUACUCCAAUUUUGGCGAAAUUGCCACUACUAUCAAGGGGCUGAUGGACGAGUUCCAGAAGAAGGUGCACGAUCAGAAAAAGAUCGAGAGUAUAAGUGAUAUGAAGAACUUUGUGGAAACAUAUCCACAGUUCAAGAAGAUGUCCGGUACGGUAUCAAAGCAUUUGGUGCUCAUUAGCGAGCUGUCGCUGCAGGUCAGCAAGCAGCAGCUGUUUGAAAUAUCCGAGCUUGAGCAAGAGAUUGCGUGCCGAGCGGAUCACUCGACACAGUUGCAACGGGUAAAGAGACUCGUUAGCGACGAAAAAAUAAAUUUACAAAACGCUCUUCGUCUUAUUUUGCUUUAUUCUAUGCGUUACGAGCGGCAUGCUAAUUGCGGAACAUCUGGAUUGCUGAAGAUGUUACAAGACCGUGGAGGGCGGGCGUAUAUCGCCCCUCGAAUGUUAGAGUACAUCAGUACCAGCGCUCGGCAGGAGCUAUUCAACACUGUGAAGAUCACGGAUGCCGUCAAAUUGACCCGUAAUCUAAUAAAGGGUCUUAAGGGAGUUGAGAAUGUCUACACCCAGCAUAACUGCGUCCUUAAGGAGGUACUGGAGGAGGUAACAAGGGGUCGGCCGUUGGACGCAGCUUACCCGAUAAUGGGCAACGAGCUGCCCUUCCGGAGGCCUCCACAGGAAAUUGUGGUGUUCGUGAUCGGAGGGACAACCUACGAGGAAGCGUUGGCAGUUCAUCGGUACAACCAGGACGGAUACAAAAUCAUUCUAGGUGGGACAACUGUUCACAAUGGGGACAGUUUUAUCGAGGAGAUUAUGGCGGCAACCGCAGGGGUGCCGCUCAAGCAUUCCCGUUCGCUACAGCAAUUCCAUCAUGCACCACCUGGAGACGCUUAAAAGGAUGCCGAUUCAGGUAGCGGGUGAUGUCGCUUUGUUCCAACAGAAUAAACCUUUCCCUCUUUAUCCGCUUUGACGGCAGCAUCAUCCGUUUGCAAAACUUGCAGCUGCGGAUCUUCCUCCGCUUCUGAGUGAAUGCAUUGCAGGAGGUCUAGCUCCUCCAAAUGAACUUCGAUCCGGAAGCACCAAUUGUUAAAGUUGGUUCCAUCGAAAAGAUACACCUUUCUUUCCUCUUCCAUCUUAGUUCAACGGCAACGGAAUACAGUGUCACCGAAUGCAAAAUCUGCCACUCGCGGCGCGGAAAAACUCGAGUAAAAACUUUAUUCCGGAAAACUUUUUGCGACGUUUUUUUAAUGCACAAACGCGUACACAACCGAACAAUAAAAACGAGGCUUGAGCUGUGCUGGGCUCAUAACCUGUAAAAGCGAAGACUGUGAUAUUACACGAGACGAGACAAUAUACGU